rnacentral:rRNA from 1 species
AGAGUUGAUCCUGGCUUAGGACGAACGCUGGCGGCAUGCCUAACACAUGCAAGUCGAACGGAGUAAUGACUUCGGUUAUUACUUAGUGGCGAACGGGUGAGUAACACGUGAAUAAUCUGCCCUGUACGAUGGGAUAACAGCUGGAAACGGCUGCUAAUACCGUAUAUGACCACGCCGAGGCAUCUCGGAGGGGUGAAAGCGCUUAAGCGGUACAGGAUGAGUUCGCGUCCAAUUAGCUAGUUGGUGAGGUAACGGCCCACCAAGGCGACGAUUGGUAGCCGACCUGAGAGGGUGAUCGGCCACACUGGAACUGAGACACGGUCCAGACUCCUACGGGAGGCAGCAGUGGGGAAUAUUGGGCAAUGGAGGAAACUCUUACCCAGCAAUGCCGCGUGAGUGAUGAAGGUCUUCGGAUUGUAAAGCUCUUUGAUUGGGGACGAAUAAAUGACGGUACCCAAGGAACAAGCCCCGGCUAACUAUGUGCCAGCCGCUGC